AUUGGGUUUAGUUUAUGUAUGAUUGGGAUUGACAUUGAAGCAAACAUUACCACCUUCCAUGAAGGCAUAGUCAUAUCAACAUUUGAGAAAUAUGGUAUUUUAAUGUUCCAUUCUAUUUGGGUUUAUGGUUUAUACUUGGGUUUAGGGUUUAAUGAUUAAGAUUUAGGGUUUAGUAUUUGGAAGGUAGGGUUGAGGUUUGAGUUUAAUGACCUUAUCAUUAUCGUUCCAUUUCUCGAUUAAUAAAGAGUGUUCUAUUUUUUUUCCCAAUAUGUAUUAUACUAUGUAUUUUGUUCCAUUCUAUUUGGGUUUAGGGUUCAGUAAUUAGGAUUUAGAGUUUAGUAUUUGAAAAAUAUAAGUUGAGGUUUGGGUUUAGUGAUAGCAGUUUAGGGUUUAGUAUUCAAAAGUUAGGUCUAUAAUUAGGAUUUAGAAGUUGUGUUUUGGGUUAGAGCCCUACACUAUUUAAAAGUUAGGCCUGGAUUUAGUUUAAUGUUAUACUAUUUUCAUAUUUUGAUAAUUGAGUUUAGGGCUGAUAAUUAAGGUUUAUAUUUGGGUUUAGUAUUUUAAAGUUUGGUUUGUGUUUAGUAUUUAAAAGUUGUAUAUUGGGUUAAUAUGGAAUGCAUUCUUUAUUGAAAAGUCUUAUAUUUUAUCUAUUCAUUUUAGUGUCAUUCAGUCAUCUAAUUAUAGUUUAUAUUUGGAUUACGAUUUAUGAUUCAGUAUUUAGGAGUUGAGAUAGUGUUUAGUAUUUAAGGAUUAUGGAUGUGGUUUUAGUCCUUCUGUACUACUUCGUGUGAUAUGGAAUAUAACAUUCAGUACAUACAUAUGUGGUCAAUAAAUAUGUAACGUGGAUGUCUGUUUUUUUUCCACUUCUGACCAUAUAUUAUUUGCUAUAAUACUAGCCAUAUUUUUCUUUAUCUAUGUCAUCUCACCUUCUU
rnacentral:lncRNA from 1 species